rnacentral:misc_RNA from 1 species
UCCGGUUUGUCACCGGCAGUCUCGCAUGAGUCCCCAACUGAAUGCUGGCAACAUGCGACGGGGGUUGCGCUCGUUGCGCCACUUAAGGCAGCACCUGUGUACGCUGGUAUUGCUACCUCGUCAGGCUUUCACCCUUCUACUACGUACAUGCCAAGGCCAGGUAAGGUUCUUCGCGUUGCAUCGAAUUGAGCCACAUACUCCACCGCUUGUGCAGGCCCCCGUCAAUUCCUUUGAGUUUUAACCUUGCGGCCGUAGUCCCCAGGCGGCGGACUUAGUGCGUUAGCUGCGGCGCCGAGGGGGUCGAUACCCCCGACACCUAGUCCGCAUCGUUUACGGCGUGGACUAC